rnacentral:tRNA from 1 species
GGCGAGAUGGCUGAGCGGUCUAAGGCGCUGGUUUAACGCAAGAGUCUCUUUGGAGGCGUGGGUUCGAAUCCCACUCUCGUCA